AACUCCUCACCGAUGCGCGUCGGUUAAAAUAUCGAUAAAUAUCGGUCGUAAUCGACAAUCCUACCGAGUACCGUCCUAUAUCCAUCGGUAGUGUCUGAUCGACAGACAUUUAGAACAAUUUAGAAAAUUAUUGGUUAUAAAAGUUUCAAUUAGUGACUCCGGCUCUGACUUGUGAAUAUUUUUCUGUUCAUGUAUUUUUAUGGCCGAAGAAUAUUUAAUAUGGGACCUAUUAAAUAUAGAAAAUAGAGUAAGACAAGUAAGACGUCGAGAGGAGAAAAGAGCCUGGCGCGAUAUAAACGAUUCAUUUGAACUACAUAACGAUGUGUUUACUAAUUUAUUUCGUUUAUUAUCGGACACUGUAUUGGAAUUACUAGAUACUUUAAGACCUAGAUUACGACGAUUGCGGCCAUGGGAUUUCACCAGAACGACAGAUGAAAGUUUAAUUGAAGAAACACAUACAAAAUUAGUCCUUUUUAGGGCUACAACACAUGCAUAUACAGUGGAGAGAGUUUGGAGUCAAAGAAUACUACGGGAGUGACGAACCCGUUAUUCAGGAACAACGACAUGGACGUAGGAGGUUUCUGUUCCCCUUGGGGUGCUUGAUUUACAAAUAAAGGUGACCUUCAUAUCUUGGAAGUAACUCCACCUACAAAAAAUCCGUAACUACCAUCUGAUGACCCCUUCUGUACGAUGCAACUUCUAUUGGACAAAUUUUUUUCUGACACUUAUAGUUUCGAAGAUAUUCAAGGUGUUAAUAAUUACUGGACCAC
rnacentral:misc_RNA from 1 species